rnacentral:rRNA from 1 species
UGGGGAAUAUUGCACAAUGGGCGCAAGCCUGAUGCAGCCAUGCCGCGUGUGUGAAGAAGGCCUUCGGGUUGUAAAGCACUUUCAGCGGGGAGGAAGGCGGUGAGGUUAAUAACCUCAUCGAUUGACGUUACCCGCAGAAGAAGCACCGGCUAACUCCGUGCCAGCAGCCGCGGUAAUACGGAGGGUGCAAGCGUUAAUCGGAAUUACUGGGCGUAAAGCGCACGCAGGCGGUCUGUCAAGUCGGAUGUGAAAUCCCCGGGCUCAACCUGGGAACUGCAUUCGAAACUAGUAGGCUAGAGUCUUGUAGAGGGGGGUAGAAUUCCAGGUGUAGCGGUGAAAUGCGUAGAGAUCUGGAGGAAUACCGGUGGGGAAGGCGGCCCCCUGGACAAAGACUGACGCUAAGGUGCGAAAGCGUGGGGAGCAAACAGG